CCUAACACAUGCAAGUGGAACGGUAACAUAGGAAAGCUUGCUUUUCUGAUGACGAGUGGCGCACGGGUGCGUAACGCGUAUAGAACCUACCCUUUACAGGGGGAUAGCCCGGAGAAAUCCGGAUUAAUACCCCGUAGUACUAAGAUGUGGCAUCGCAUUUUAGUUAAAGCUUCGGCGGUAGAGGAUGGCUAUGCGUCCUAUUAGUUAGAUGGUGAGGUAACGGCUCACCAUGGCAGCGAUAGGUAGGGGCCCUGAGAGGGGGAUCCCCCACACUGGUACUGAGACACGGACCAGACUCCUACGGGAGGCAGCAGUGAGGAAUAUUGGACAAUGGGCGAGAGCCUGAUCCAGCCAUGCCGCGUGCAGGAAGACGGCCCUACGGGUUGUAAACUGCUUUUAUACGGGAAGAAUAAGGGGUACGUGUACCCUGAUGACGGUACCGUAAGAAUAAGGACCGGCUAACUCCGUGCCAGCAGCCGCGGUAAUACGGAGGGUCCGAGCGUUAUCCGGAAUCAUUGGGUUUAAAGGGUCCGCAGGCGGGCCAGUAAGUCAGAGGUGAAAGUUUGCGGCUCAACCGUAAAAUUGCCUUUGAUACUGCUGGUCUUGAGUUGCGGUGAAGUGGCUGGAAUAUGUGGUGUAGCGGUGAAAUGCAUAGAUAUCACAUAGAACACCGAUUGCGAAGGCAGGUCACUAACCGCGGACUGACGCUGAUGGACGAAAGCGUGGGGAGCGAACGGGAUUAGAUACCCCGGUAGUCCACGCCGUANACGAUGGACACUAGCUGUCAGGGAGCUUGCUCCUUGGUGGC
rnacentral:rRNA from 1 species